GGCUGACUGACCUGCAGGUCUCGGUUGUGAUUCUCACAGAGCAGCUGGAGGAAGCGCAGGAUAGGCUGCAUGAUGACGAUGAUAAAGCUCAUCUCUCCAUCGUCCUGGCCCUUGUCCCCGGUGCUGGGUGUGCCAUCAGCCGUAGAGAAGUGGUCAUCGGGGUCGGCCUCACGGCGGUAUGAGUUGAAGGCUUUCUUAGUGGCCGACGAGGCCUCCAGCAGCUGCUCUCUCGCCUCAUCUGUCACCAGUACCGUAGCUGUUACAGGAAGAAGUGUGGCAUGCAGGAACAAUCUAACAUUUCCUGCAACAAAGUGACUGAUGUUGAUUGUUAAAAGAAAAUAAAUGAAGUUGGCCGGAGUGAAGAUUAUGACAUACAGUGAUCCAUGAUCUAAAGUCUUGCUUGAUUAUGUAUGUCCAGAAAUUGAUUAAAACCCGUUGAUUAUGAGCACA